rnacentral:tRNA from 1 species
CCGUCGGUAGUAUAAUGGCGUGGAGCAUUCCCACCCGGUGAGUAGGAUGUGCGGGUUCGAGUCCCGUCCGGCGUU